CCUACGGGGGCAGCAGUGGGGAAUAUUGGACAAUGGGCGAAAGCCUGAUCCAGCCAUGCCGCGUGUGUGAAGAAGGCCUUCGGGUUGUAAAGCACUUUCAGUGGGGAAGAAAGCCUUGGGGCUAAUACCCUCGAGGAAGGACAUCACCCACAGAAGAAGCACCGGCUACCUCCGUGCCAGCAGCCGCGGUAAUACGGAGGGUGCGAGCGUUAAUCGGAAUUACUGGGCGUAAAGCGCGCGUAGGCGGUCUGAUAAGCCGGUUGUGAAAGCCCCGGGCUCAACCUGGGAACGGCAUCCGGAACUGUCAGGCUAGAGUGCAGGAGAGGAAGGUAGAAUUCCCGGUGUAGCGGUGAAAUGCGUAGAGAUCGGGAGGAAUACCAGUGGCGAAGGCGGUCUUCUGGACUGACACUGACGCUGAGGUGCGAAAGCGUGGGUAGCAAACAGGAUUAGAUACCCUAGUAGUC
rnacentral:rRNA from 1 species